GAUGAACGCUGGCGGCGUGCCUAAUACAUGCAAGUCGAGCGAACGGACGAGAAGCUUGCUUCUCUGAUGUUAGCGGCGGACGGGUGAGUAACACGUGGAUAACCUACCUAUAAGACUGGGAUAACUUCGGGAAACCGGAGCUAAUACCGGAUAAUAUUUUGAACCGCAUGGUUCAAAAGUGAAAGACGGUCUUGCUGUCACUUAUAGAUGGAUCCGCGCUGCAUUAGCUAGUUGGUAAGGUAACGGCUUACCAAGGCAACGAUGCAUAGCCGACCUGAGAGGGUGAUCGGCCACACUGGAACUGAGACACGGUCCAGACUCCUACGGGAGGCAGCAGUAGGGAAUCUUCCGCAAUGGGCGAAAGCCUGACGGAGCAACGCCGCGUGAGUUAUGAAGGUCUUCGGAUCGUAAAACUCUGUUAUUAGGGAAGAACAUAUGUGUAAGUAACUGUGCACAUCUUGACGGUACCUAAUCAGAAAGCCACGGCUAACUACGUG
rnacentral:rRNA from 1 species